rnacentral:misc_RNA from 1 species
GGAAAGUGGAAAUAGGGAUGGCAGUGAUGAAAAAAAGGAUGAUUGGAGGGGAGAUGAACAUGGAGAUGGUGGUGGAAGGAUGGAGAGGAAGGGAAAAGAUGGGAAUAAGGAGAAUGAUGAUGAAAGGGAUGAUAGGAAGGAUAGAAGGAGGAAAAAUUAUGAUGAUGACAAGAGGGAGAGCAGAAAAGAGGAAACACAAGUUGAUGAAAGGGGGGAUAGGAGGGAAAGAAGGCGGAGAAUUGAACGCAGUGAGAGUGAUGACGAUGGUGAGGAUAAAGAUAGGGAUGAUAGGAGAACAAGAAGGCGAAGAGCUGAACGUGGAAAUAGGGAUAGUAGUGAUGAUGAAAAGGAUGAUUUGAGGCGUAAGAGGGAUGGUGGUGAAAGGAUGGAUAUGAGGCGAAAAGAUGAGAAUAAGGACGACAAUGAUAGGAGGGAUAGAAGGAGAAAACACGAACAGGUGAAUGAUGAUGAUAAGAGGGAGAGCAGAAAACAGGAAACCCAAGUUGAUGAUGAUGGUGAUGAUGAUGAAAGAGAUGACAGGAGAAAGAAGAGGCGAAGACAUGAGGGUGAAGGUGGUGACUUGAAGGAUGAUAAGAAGGAGAAGAGUCGAAGGAAUGAAGGUGAAAGCAAUGGUAGGAAGGAGAGGAGGCGACGGGAAGAUGAUGAUGAAAAAGUGCAUAAGAGAAGGAAGGAUGAGCACGGACUCAGGGAUAGAGUUGAUCGGUAUAAUGAUGGUAGAGAAGGG